ACUUGUCGCGGAGCCAUGAGCGUGUGGGCUGCCGUGACACCAGACAAACACUCUGCCACGGGAACAUCGUGGCAUUUCAGGGCGUU
rnacentral:sRNA from 1 species